AGAGUUUGAUCCUGGCUCAGGACGAACGCUGGCGGCGCGCCUAACACAUGCAAGUCGAACGGAGCUGAGAGGAGCUUGCUUUUCUUAGCUUAGUGGCGAACGGGUGAGUAACGCGUGAGUAACCUGCCCUGGAGUGGGGGACAACAGUUGGAAACGACUGCUAAUACCGCAUAAGCCCACGGAUUCGCAUGGAUCUGCGGGAAAAGGAUUUAUUCGCUUCAGGAUGGACUCGCGUCCAAUUAGCUAGUUGGUGAGGUAACGGCCCACCAAGGCGACGAUUGGUAGCCGGACUGAGAGGUUGAACGGCCACAUUGGGACUGAGACACGGCCCAGACUCCUACGGGAGGCAGCAGUGGGGAAUAUUGCACAAUGGGGGAAACCCUGAUGCAGCGACGCCGCGUGGAGGAAGAAGGUUUUCGGAUUGUAAACUCCUGUCGUUAGGGACGAUAAUGACGGUACCUAACAAGAAAGCACCGGCUAACUACGUGCCAGCAGCCGCGGUAAAACGUAGGGUGCAAGCGUUGUCCGGAAUUACUGGGUGUAAAGGGAGCGCAGGCGGACCGGCAAGUUGGAAGUGAAAACUAUGGGCUCAACCCAUAAAUUGCUUUCAAAACUGCUGGCCUUGAGUAGUGCAGAGGUAGGUGGAAUUCCCGGUGUAGCGGUGGAAUGCGUAGAUAUCGGGAGGAACACCAGUGGCGAAGGCGACCUACUGGGCACCAACUGACGCUGAGGCUCGAAAGCAUGGGUAGCAAACAGGAUUAGAUACCCUGGUAGUCCAUGCCGUAAACGAUGAUUACUAGGUGUUGGAGGAUUGACCCCUUCAGUGCCGCAGUUAACACAAUAAGUAAUCCACCUGGGGAGUACGACCGCAAGGUUGAAACUCAAAGGAAUUGACGGGGGCCCGCACAAGCAGUGGAGUAUGUGGUUUAAUUCGAAGCAACGCGAAGAACCUUACCAGGUCUUGACAUCCGAUGCAUAGCGCAGAGAUGCGUGAAGUCCUUCGGGACAUCGAGACAGGUGGUGCAUGGUUGUCGUCAGCUCGUGUCGUGAGAUGUUGGGUUAAGUCCCGCAACGAGCGCAACCCUUAUUGCCAGUUACUACGCAAGAGGACUCUGGCGAGACUGCCGUUGACAAAACGGAGGAAGGUGGGGAUGACGUCAAAUCAUCAUGCCCUUUAUGACCUGGGCUACACACGUACUACAAUGGCGU
rnacentral:rRNA from 1 species